GUUAAGCGACUAAGCGUACACGGUGGAUGCCCUGGCAGUCAGAGGCGAUGAAGGACGUGCUAAUCUGCGAUAAGCGUCGGUAAGGUGAUAUGAACCGUUAUAACCGGCGAUUUCCGAAUGGGGAAACCCAGUGUGUUUCGACACACUAUCAUUAACUGAAUCCAUAGGUUAAUGAGGCGAACCGGGGGAACUGAAACAUCUAAGUACCCCGAGGAAAAGAAAUCAACCGAGAUUCCCCCAGUAGCGGCGAGCGAACGGGGAGCAGCCCAGAGCCUGAAUCAGUGUGUGUGUUAGUGGAAGCGUCUGGAAAGGCGCGCGAUACAGGGUGACAGCCCCGUACACAAAAAUGCACAUGCUGUGAGCUCGAUGAGUAGGGCGGGACACGUGGUAUCCUGUCUGAAUAUGGGGGGACCAUCCUCCAAGGCUAAAUACUCCUGACUGACCGAUAGUGAACCAGUACCGUGAGGGAAAGGCGAAAAGAACCCCGGCGAGGGGAGUGAAAAAGAACCUGAAACCGUGUACGUACAAGCAGUGGGAGCACGCUUAGGCGUGUGACUGCGUACCUUUUGUAUAAUGGGUCAGCGACUUAUAUUCUGUAGCAAGGUUAACCGAAUAGGGGAGCCGAAGGGAAACCGAGUCUUAACUGGGCGUUAAGUUGCAGGGUAUAGACCCGAAACCCGGUGAUCUAGCCAUGGGCAGGUUGAAGGUUGGGUAACACUAACUGGAGGACCGAACCGACUAAUGUUGAAAA
rnacentral:rRNA from 1 species